rnacentral:rRNA from 1 species
ACGAACGCUGGCGGCGUGCUUAACACAUGCAAGUCGAACGGUGAAGCGCCUUCCUUUUUGGUGGGUGUGGAUGAGUGGCGAACGGGUGAGUAACACGUGAGUAACCUGCCCCCUUCUUCUGGAUAACCACAUGAAAGUGUGGCUAAUACGGGAUAUUCUGGGUCUGUCGCAUGAUGGGUCUGGGAAAGAUAUUGUUUCGGUGGGGGAUGGGCUCGCGGCCUAUCAGCUUGUUGGUGGGGUGAUGGCCUACCAAGGCGGUGACGGGUAGCCGGCCUGAGAGGGUGGACGGUCACACUGGGACUGAGACACGGCCCAGACUCCUACGGGAGGCAGCAGUGGGGAAUAUUGCACAAUGGGCGCAAGCCUGAUGCAGCGACGCCGCGUGAGGGAUGGAGGCCUUCGGGUUGUGAACCUCUUUCGCCAGUGAAGCAGGCCUGCCUCGUUUGUGGGUGGGUUGACGGUAGCUGGAUAAGAAGCGCCGGCUAACUACGUG